rnacentral:tRNA from 1 species
GCGAACGUGGCGGAACCGGCAGACGCGCAGGACUUAGGAUCCUGUCCCGCAAGGGGUCCGGGUUCGACUCCCGGCGUUCGCA